CGGGACCGGAAACGGGCCUUCCCCCCGGGGGCGCCGGCCCGGCCCGGCCCGAGGGAGCUCUGGUUCCUGAGCCCGAGGACGCCGUCUCCUUGGACACCAAAGGCUCAAGAGACUUGAGAACACUUUCUCUGAGACCGUUGGUCUCAGAUGCCUGGGAACCGCAUCUCUGCGUCUCUGUUGGGUCACUGUGAUGAGGCGAAUGUUAUCAGGCCAUGGCAUGCAGUAGCAAAAUGCUAUCAUCUGGAGAUACUGUAAUCAAGUGGAUACUUUGACCAAGUUACAGAGAGCCAGCUUUGGGAUGCCACAAGGGCUCAGGAGUUACAGA